GAUGAACGCUGGCGGCGUGCUUAACACAUGCAAGUCGAACGAUGAAGCCCAGCUUGCUGGGUGGAUUAGUGGCGAACGGGUGAGUAACACGUGAGUAACCUGCCCUUAACUCUGGGAUAAGCCUGGGAAACUGGGUCUAAUACCGGAUAGGAGCGUCCACCGCAUGGUGGGUGUUGGAAAGAUUUAUCGGUUUUGGAUGGACUCGCGGCCUAUCAGCUUGUUGGUGAGGUAAUGGCUCACCAAGGCGACGACGGGUAGCCGGCCUGAGAGGGUGACCGGCCCACCGGGGACUGGGAAACGGCCCAGCCCCCUACGGGGGGAAGGGGGGGGGAAUAUUGCAAAAGGGGCGCAAGCCUGAUGCAGCGACCCCGGGGGGGGGAUGACGGCUUUCGGGUUGUAAACCUCUUUCAGUAGGGAAGAAGCGAAAGUGACGGUACCUGCAGAAGAAGCACCGGCAAACUACGU
rnacentral:rRNA from 1 species